rnacentral:tRNA from 1 species
AUUUAAAUAGUUUAAUAAAAAUUUUGAUUUGUGGAAUCAAAGAUGUAGGAGUUACUUUAAAUA